rnacentral:rRNA from 1 species
UACAGAGGUCUCAAGCGUUGUUCGGAUUCAUUGGGCGUAAAGGGUGCGUAGGCGGCGCGGUAAGUCGGGUGUGAAAUCUCGGGGCUUAACUCCGAAACUGCAUUCGAUACUGCCGUGCUUGAGGACUGGAGAGGAGACUGGAAUUUACGGUGUAGCGGUGAAAUGCGUAGAUAUCGUAAGGAAGACCAGUGGCGAAGGCGGGUCUCUGGACAGUUCCUGACGCUUAGGCACGAAGGCCAGGGGAGCAAACGGG